rnacentral:tRNA from 1 species
GGGGCUGUAGCUCAGCUGGGAGAGCGACGCGUUCGCAAUGCGUAGGUCAGGGGUUCGAGCCCCCUCAGCUCCACCA